rnacentral:rRNA from 1 species
GGCGUCCUACGGGGGGCAGCAGUAGGGAAUCUUCCACAAUGGGCGAAAGCCUGAUGGAGCAACGCCGCGUGGGUGAAGAAGGUCUUCGGAUCGUAAGACCCUGUUGUUAGAGAAGAAAGUGCGUGAGAGUAACUGUUCACGUUUCGACGGUAUCUAACCAGAAAGCCACGGCUAACUACGUGCCAGCAGCCGCGGUAAUACGUAGGUGGCAAGCGUUAUCCGGAUUUAUUGGGCGUAAAGAGAACGCAGGCGGUCUUUUAAGUCUGAUGUGAAAGCCUUCGUCUUCACCGGCGUAGUGCAUUGGA